AAAAAUGAGUGCAUCACCUUCUUCCAAUAUGCUGAUCUCAUCAUUACUAAUCUUGGUGUAAUAUAUCAUUCAGAAUUCCAAAUCAUCACUAUAUUCUUUAUAGGGAAUGAUUUUCCCGAUGUUCACACCGUAGUGAGAGAUCCGAGACGAUAUAUGCAUGGUUCUAGCAUAGCACGUGGAUGCGUGGUUUGUUGGUCCAUAUUUUCUUCUUCAUCUUCUUCCUUUCUCAUGAUACCAGCCAAAACCAAGUAAGUCUGGAAGGAUGGCGAAUAAUAAUACAAAAAGUAAAGCCACUUUCGAUAUUAGCAACAAUGGCGAUGACAUAAAUUAAACGUCAUACAUUAUUUUUCUCGAGUAGACAGUAUAUGUAUAUUUUGAAUUUUAAGAUAUAAAAACUCGAAUAAGAUCCAAGAGGCAACAAUAUCUCGGCACCCGCAGUUGGUCUAGAUUAAAAGGAAUUAAUACCUUAUUUUAUUAAAAAAAUUAUUUAAUCUCAUUUUGUAAGCUGUCUCUCAUCAUUAAUCGAUCUUAAAUAAGAUAAUAUCAUAUAUAAUUCAUGCUUUCAUUUGCUACUAAGCUCAUGCUUUCUUUUGCUUCUAAGCAUGUUUCAAUGAUUGGAG
rnacentral:lncRNA from 1 species